rnacentral:rRNA from 1 species
CCUACGGGGGGCAGCAGUGAGGAAUAUUGGUCAAUGGGCGGAAGCCUGAACCAGCCAAGUAGCGUGCGGGAUGAAGGCCCUACGGGUCGUAAACCGCUUUUGCACGGGGAUAACACCCUCCACUUGUGGAGGUCUGCCGGUACCGUGCGACUAAGGGCCGGCAAAUUCCGUGCCUGCAGCCGCGGUAAUACGGACGGCCCGAGCGUUAUCCGGUUUCAUUGGGCUUAAAGGGAGCGUAGGCGGGCGUUCAAGUCAGCUGUAAUAUCGCGCGGCGCAACCGCGCCCCGCAGUUGCAACUGGACGCCUUGAGUUCACAACAGGCAGGAGGAAUUCGUGGUGUAGCGGUGAAAUGCAUAGAUAUCACGAGGAACCCCGAUUGCGAAGGCAGCCUGCCGUGGUGCGACUGACGCUGAGGCUCGAAGGUGCGGGUAUCAAACAGGAUUAGAUACCCGGGUAGUC